rnacentral:rRNA from 1 species
AUGGUGCUGCUGAUGGUCCUUUGGCACACCUGGCAUGUCCGGAACGAGAUCACACAUGAUAAAGCACCGCCUCCAACCGAAGCUUCCCGCCGGUUUCUCAACAGCUACAUAAACUCGUUGUUGUGUGUCAAGCAGUUUCCUCGAGAUGACCAGAUCAAAGGCAAAAUGGUUCUCCAAGUGGACAGCGGACGACUCAGUUUGAAACGCUCACACGCAGCCCGGGAACUAAUAUGGGAUGAGCCAAACUCAACACGGAUGGCAGCUAUCUCGCCACCGACGGCUCCACUGGCUGUGGCAUCGUCCUUCGUGACUCUGCCGGUUAGAUUAUCUACACUGCCUGUAGGCAGCUCUUCACAUGUGAUAAUGCACUGGAAGCUGAAUCGGAAGCGUGCAAGGAAGUACUAA